rnacentral:rRNA from 1 species
AACUACGCUGGCGGCGUGCCUAACACAUGCAAGUCGAACGAGAAAGUUGGCUUCGGCCGAUGAGUAAAGUGGCGCACGGGUGAGUAACGCGUGGAUAAUCUGCCCUUUAGUUUGGAAUAACGUACCGAAAGGUGCGCUAAUACCGGAUAAUACUGAAUGACUACUGUUGUUUAGUCAAAGAAGGCUUCUGUUUACAUGCUUUUGCUGAAGGAUGAGUCCGCGUACCAUUAGCUAGUUGGUAGGGUAAUGGCCUACCAAGGCGACGAUGGUUAGCUGGUCUGAGAGGAUGAUCAGCCACACUGGAACUGAGACACGGUCCAGACUCCUACGGGAGGCAGCAGUGAGGAAUAUUGCGCAAUGGGGGCAACCCUGACGCAGCAACGCCGCGUGAGUGAGGAAGGUUUUCGGACCGUAAAGCUCUGUCGAGCGGGAAGAAAUGCAUGGUGGCUAAUAUCCAUCAUGCUUGACGGUACCGCUAAAGGAAGCACCGGCUAACUCCGUG